rnacentral:rRNA from 1 species
GAUGAACGCUGGCGGCGUGCUUAACACAUGCAAGUCGAACGAGAAAUGUAGACGGAAACCUUCGGGCGGAAGCCCUCAUUUCUAGUUGCGGCCGGGUGAGUAACGCCUGGGUAACCUGCCUCCUACAGGGGGAUAACACUUGGAAACGACUGUUAAUACCGCAUCAGACCACAGCAUCGCAUGAUGCGGGGGUAAAAACUCCGGUGGUAUGGAAUGGACCCGCGUCCGAUUAGCCAGUGGGCGGGGUCACGGCCCACCAAAGCGACGAUCGAUAGCCGAUCGGGGGGGAUGACAGGCCGCGUUGGAACUGAGACACGGCCCAAACUCCUACGGAGGGCAGCGGUAGGGAAUAUUGCAGAAUGAAGGAAGCCCUAAUGAAGCGACGCGGCGUGAGUGAGGAAGUGCUUCGGUAUGUAAAGCUCUAUCAGCAGGAAAGAGAAUGACGGUACCUGAGUAAGAAGCACCGGCUAACUACGUG